GAUGAAGAACGCAGCGAAAUGCGAUAAGUAAUGUGAAUUGCAGAAUUCAGUGAAUCAUCGAAUCUUUGAACGCACAUUGCGCCCGCCAGUAUUCUGGCGAGCAUGCCUGUUCGAGCGUCAUUUCAACCAUCAAGCCCCAGGCUUGUGUUGGAGCCCUGCGGCUGCCGCAGCCUCCCAAAACCAGUGGCGGGCUCGCUAUCACACCGAGUGCAGUAGUUUACUCUUCGCUCAGGACGUGUGGCGGGUGCUAGCCGUGAAACCCCCAACUUCUCAAGGUUGACCUCGGAUCAGGUAGGAAUACCCGCUGAACUUAAGCAUAUCAAUAAGCGGAGGA
rnacentral:misc_RNA from 1 species